UACGUAGGGGUCUAGCGUUGUUCGGAAUAACUGGGCGUAAAGCGCAUGUAGGCGGAUUGUUAAGUCAGAGGUGAAAUCCCGGGGCUCAACCCCGGAACUGACUUUGAUACUGGCAAUCUCGAGUCCGAGAGAGGUGAGUGGAAUUCCUAGUGUAGAGGUGAAAUUCGUAGAUAUUCGGAGGAACACCAGUGGCGAAGGCGGCACACUGGCUCGGUACUGACGCUGAGGUGCGAAAGCGUGGGUAGCAAACAGG
rnacentral:misc_RNA from 1 species